UACAGAGGUCUCAAGCGUUGUUCGGAUUCAUUGGGCGUAAAGGGUGCGUAGGUGGCGUCGUAAGUCAGGUGUGAAAUCUCUGGGCUCAACCCAGAGGCUGCUUCCGAAACUGCUGUGCUUGAGUGUGGGAGAGGCGCGUGGAAUUGCAGGUGUAGCGGUGAAAUGCGUAGAUAUCUGCAGGAACACCCGUGGCGAAAGCGGCGCGCUGGACCACUACUGACGCUGAAGAACGAAAGCUAGGGGAGCAAACAGG
rnacentral:rRNA from 1 species